rnacentral:lncRNA from 1 species
CCUGAUCUGAAGAUCACUAAAGUUAGGACACUCUUUUCAUAUUUUGUGGAAUGUACUAGCCAUGACUAAGUGUUUAUCUAUGGGUGGAAUAGUACAAAUAAACACUCUUACCAUGGUGAUGUUUGGAGGCAAUAACCAUGACUGAAUCUGUCUUACAUCCUGAUCAUGUUAGGAGAGCAUAGUAUCAGGUCCUGAUGAGACUCCCUUUGGAGAAGAAACAGGGUAGUGAAGAAUGCUGAGGCUCCUGUUCAAGCAGGUUGAUAUGCUGUGGCUUUCUUAGCCUAAUGAAGGAUCUCAAAAAACAUGGUUCUUCUGUACUGGUAAACUAAAGGAACAUACCAGGAACUCUGAAAAGGUUGAGCUGAAGGUCUUCAUUACCAGCGGAAGAAAACCCUGCAGCAAAUGAGACAACCAAAAAUACUUUGUGUCUUGGGAGCUGCUCUGCUUUAUAGAAACUUUCUUAAAAUCAUCUGUGAUUUAUACUGGAACUAAAAAUGUCUGUUAUAUUCCAGCUCCUAUGGUAAGUAUCUUGAAAGACCUCUGCCAACAGUCCCAGUGGAGUUGCAGUUGCCUCCAGUCUCAAACAAACAUAGAACUU